AUGGGAGGGUUGCAGGAAGGUUUCUGCUGUUCCUGGUACUGUUUUUGCUCUUUCUGCUGCUCCUGGUGCAGUUUUUGCUCCUGGGGCUGUUUUUGUUGCUGCUGCUCUUCCUGCUCCUGGUGCAGUUCUUGCUGUUGCUGCUCCUGUUUUUCCUGCUCCUGGUCUCCCCCCCACCUCCUCUCCCCCAUGAAAUGGGCUGAAAACACCCGUUUCUCUCUAGGGGGGACAGAGAUUAAAAAAGGAUUAAAGCGAUUCACUGUGGAGGGGAGGGGGGGCAAAACAAUACGGGGGGCCUCAGCAGCCGCCGGUCGGGGUGUGCGGGGGAAAUUGGGGCGAUCUGGAAGGAAGGUCCUGCCACUGCUGCUGCGGUUUCUGCCUCGUCCCCUCUCUGCGGCUCCGGGGGUUUUUUUCCCUCGUCUCCACCGCCACCGCCUCCCGGUGCCCGGUCUCCCCGCAGCCGCCGCCGACUCCUCCUCAGGACCGAGCCGAGUGAAAUGACAACCAGCUGGAAAGACCAGAGACACUUCCGGUUCGGGGAGGGAGGGGCGGGGCGCCUCGCGAACCCCCGCCCAUCCACCGAGAGACCAAUCCAAGAACAGGGUCAGUAAUGACCACACCCCAUCCCUAUUUAGACCCCGCCCAAGAAGGUCGAAAAGAUACCUCCGGUAACGCCCAAUCUAGCUGGGGCCUGCCCAUUAAGGUCACUGGCUUAGAUUCCCCUCCCCCACCCUCUCUGUAAACUCGGCUCAUCGCCAUCUUGGGUGAGGGCAAAGGAAUCAAUUGCUGAUUCCUUUCCCGGGCUGGAAGACGGCUGGAGAAGAGUGAGCCGAGUGGAAGAGACCUAGACCCUCUCCGCGAUCUGAGGCGGGAAGGCGCGGUGUAGAGGAACCAAACCGGUGACCUGCGAAAAGCCAGGGACCGACGUUGCCCAUAGUCAAAGUGGCGCCCCGGGCGUCACGUGCGCCAGCCCCGGCUCCGCCCCAGAGGGCACUGGAAGGCGAGGCGGUGCCUGCCCUGCCUGCGCAGCUGGAAAGGUCAGAGUAGCUCCCCAGCUGUGGCCUGGGCUGCGUUUCUUCUAGCCAGGGCAGUAGUCCGGUGACCGGGCAGGGCCUGGCUGGGCGUGUGGCCUCCUCUGCUGCGGUUGACCCCGAGGCCCGGCACCUUGCGCUGGAGGCCCCACCUCCUUGGUCGAAAGAGCUCCGAUGACUUGCACUGUAGCGUGAAGGAUGGGCCGUCUCGUAGAGCGGAGUCGAAGCUCCAGAGCUCUGGACCGCACCUUAUCCCAGCCUAAGAAGGGACCUGGGAUUCGAGUCCUGCCCCAUUAUUUUACAGAAAGUUAAAAGACUUGUCCCAAGGACAUUGGAUUGCGGAUUUAGAACUGAAACUACACGUGCAUUAGUCCUCUCCCCUUUCUUUUCCGCGCCCCCUUCGCUCGGGGAAAAACCUUAAGUGAUUUGCCCAAGGUCACAGAAGUACCACACAUAAAAGCUUAAUUUCA
rnacentral:lncRNA from 1 species